UACACACCGCCCGUCACACCAUGGAAGUCUGUUGCACCAGAAGUCGGUAGUCUAACCGCAAGGGGGGCGCCGACCACGGUGUGGCCGAUGACUGGGGUG
rnacentral:rRNA from 1 species